AAUUCAGUUUAGGGUUUAAAACCCUAUUGCUAACUAAAAGAAAAAGUUCAGUUUAGAGUUUAAAAUCCUAAUGCUGACUGAAGGAAAGAGUUCAGUUUAGGGUUUAAAUCCCUAAUACUGACUGAAGGAAAGAGUUCAGUUUAGAGUUUAAAACCCUAAUGCUGACUAAAGGAAAAAGUUCAGUUUAGGAUUUAAAACCCUAAUGUUGACUGAAUGGAAAAAGUUCAGUUUAGGGUUUAAAACCCUAAUGCUGACUGAAGGAAAGAGUUUAGUUUAGGGUUUAAAACCCUAAAACUGACUAAAGGAAAGAGUUCAGUUUAGGGUUUAACACCCUAAUGCUGACUGAAUGG
rnacentral:lncRNA from 1 species